AUGGGCUGUCAAGGGCCUGAGUGCCCUUUGCCUGUUCAGAGGCACAAUACUGGACCCAGAAAUACCUGGCUUGAAUCAUGCAGUUUUUUAGAAUCAGGCUGGUGCAGCAUUUGGCUUCUGGAAGGCUGGGCAUCAUUUUGGUCACAAAUGCAAUGUGUCAGUGUGAUGGUAUUUUGAGGGGUGGACUGAGCCUAUCCCUAUGUUCCUUCUCCCCAGAAAUCUCCACAUCCUUCUCCUUCCUGUUCCCUCUGAGCCUCUUCUUCCUCUGCUGGACACCUGUGCCAAGGAACCUACCUAAAUCCAGAUCUAUGUCCUCCUCCUCUCUGCUCCACCUCAGCCUCUUCCUCCCUGCUGGACACCUGUGCCAAGGAACCUACUAAAUCCAGGUAAAAGUGAAUAACGCCUGGUGUGUGGGGGGGUCCUGGAUUUCAGGGCAGGUGUCAAUCCCGAAGUGUGCUGAUUGAUUGGCAGCUGGCUAUCAUGACCUACAAGCUGUACGUCUGAUGAGGGAAUUGGAUGGUGUCCUGAGGGGUGAGUGUCCUGGUUGAUGUGGAGGGAGUCACACCACAGCCAUGGUGCAUGUUAGUGCUCUGAGGUAGAGGCGUGAAGGAGUCACACUGGCACGUGCCCCAGGGCAGUGCAGACCAGGGUUCUGCUGUGGAAGGCAGAGGAAGGGCUGAGAGUUGUUGUUAUGGCAGUGUCCCCCAGAUGGCGCCAAAGUGUCAACAGAGCUGCUCUGCAUCUCCAGGCUCAGAACAGGAAUGGAGAUGGAUCCAGCAAACCUCAAGGAGGUGCCCAGAGCCUUGUGUUUUGUGCACGUGGAGCCUCUGACCCUUUGGCCCAAUUUGCCUCCACUUACUCUGGGGACAUGCAUCUGCCAUCACAUGUCCAACUAGAUUCCUGUUGGGUUGGGAGACACAAUGAUGGGAGAUUUUGACAGGCUUUCUGUGGUCGGAGUGUCCUUUGCUUGUUUGGAGACAGAGCUCUGGCCCCAGAAACACUGGUCUUGACUGUGAAUGGUACCGUUUUCCAGAAAUAUCUUGGAAGGGAAUGUUGCUUCUGGAACACAGAGCUUCAGGUCCUGAAUGCAGUGUUUCAGUGUAAUCGUUUGAGGGGGCCAGCCUGAGCCUAUCCCUGUGCUCCUUCUCCCCAGUGAUCUCUGCAUCCUCCUCCUCCCUGUUGGACACCUGUGCCAAGGAACCUACCUAAAUCCAGGUAAGUGAAUAAUGGCUGGGGGGGGGGGGGG
rnacentral:lncRNA from 1 species